UACAGAGGGUGCAAGCGUUGUCCGGAAUUACUGGGCGUAAAGCGUGCGCAGGCGGUUAUGCAAGACAGAGGUGAAAUCCCCGGGCUCAACCUGGGAACUGCCUUUGUGACUGCAUGGCUAGAGUACGGUAGAGGGGGAUGGAAUUCCGCGUGUAGCAGUGAAAUGCGUAGAUAUGCGGAGGAACACCGAUGGCGAAGGCAAUCCCCUGGACCUGUACUGACGCUGAGGAGCGAAAGCAUGGGGAGCGAACAGG
rnacentral:rRNA from 1 species